CCUACGGGAGGCAGCAGUGAGGAAUAUUGGUCAAUGGCCGUAAGGCUGAACCAGCCAAGUCGCGUGAAGGAAGAAGGAUCUAUGGUUUGUAAACUUCUUUUAUAGGGGAAUAAAGGGAACCACGUGUGGAUAUUUGCAUGUACCCUAUGAAUAAGCAUCGGCUAACUCCGUGCCAGCAGACGCGGGAAGACGGAGGAUGCGAGCGUUAUCCGGAUUUAUUGGGUUUAAAGGGUGCGUAGGGUUUUUUUUCAGUCAGCGGUGAAAGUUUGUGGCUCAACCAUAAAAUUGCCGUUGAAACUGGCAGACUUGAGUGUGUUUGAGGUAGGCGGACUGCGUUGUGUCGCCGU
rnacentral:rRNA from 1 species